AGCUUGUAAUAUCUAGCAACCAAAGAUGCGCGACGAAGUUAUUGAAUUCCAGUUGAGAAGCGAAUGACGGACCGACCCUGCAUUAGGCCACAUACGAUCGACCAUCUUCCAGAAUAUGAACUAUAUCCGUCGACGGACAACAACCACUGUUGAAAGUACGAUAUAUAACUGCUAGAUACAACGAAAAAAAACAAAGGUAUCUUGUUCGAUAAUGUGACGAAGACGGGUUCUGGACUCUACUUAUACAUCAAUAUUUCUUUAAAAAGUAUGUUACCAUUAAAAGUCAAGAAAGUUACAUCCCCACCUCUCCCCACUUAUUAUAGGACAGAUGUGGCAAAGAGUGGAAUAUUUUAUGAAGCAAAGACAAGACAGAAGACAAGGUUGAUGGAUGCCAUUGUUUAUAAUGCCCAAUACUGAACUAGGAAUGAGAAAUUGAAGAACUAGAGAUGGUAGAAAGAAAAUCCUAAGGAAACUGUCAGGAUAGUAUAAAAAUUUUGGUAAUAGAAAGUGAGUGCAGCCCAGUCCUAUGUUCCAUGUACCUAAAAAUUUGUUUUGUCUUUAACAGUUACAAAAGAAAUCUGAAACAAGCUAAAGUUAAUAAAGUCAACUAACACAAUAGAA